rnacentral:lncRNA from 1 species
GGGGUUUCGGGGGUCUCCCCUUCCCGUGCCUCCCGCGCGAGGUGGUCUCGCGCGCCGGAAACAGGCCGCAUCCUCCAGCGGGCCUGGGCCCGCCCCAGUGCCCACCCCGACACUUACUCUUAUUGACGGUCUUGAGAGCGCGCGUGAAGUCGCCGUUCUGGCCAUACCGGUUCACUUCACUCCACAGCGCAGGUACUGACACCCCCCCGCUGCCGCCGCUCGCCAUCUUGGAGGAGACGAGGGGCGGGGCGGGGAGACCUCUGCCCCGGAACAGGAUCUCCGAGGCAGCCAAGAGGAGGAGGAAGUCGAUGAUUGCUAAGCGUCGCCGAGUUGGGAGCGUCUUCAGCCCUAAGGCAGCAUCAGAGAUCAUAAUCUUCUGCUCUCGUGGCAAGAAAUUUGUGCGGAUAGAGUUGAUACACCUCACUUGAAGUUGGCCUGGAGAAAAGAGGCGUGGGACUCCUGGACGGGGUUGGGAAACGGUCACCAGUUUCGGCUCAAAGCAGCCUGUUUCCAGGAGACCGCCAUGGUCGAGGCAGCGUCCUGGUCCCACGGUGCGGGGCCGGACGAUCAUUUAUGGGAUAUAAAUAAAAGGACUAUGAGGUGGUAAAUAAAAGACUACCAACUAGAAGCCAUAGGGAGUCAUUUGAAGGAGAAAUAGGCACGGCUCAUCUGUGGUUGAGGGAAAGGGAUCUUGAAAGAUGAUUAGGAGAACUUGGGUUCUGGGGAAAGUGCGGGAAGACAUUCUGGCAGAGAAGCAAACGUGAAGAAAGCCUGCUUCAAGGAAAUCCAUGUGUUCAAAAUGCUUGCUCGCAGUUUGCUCCAUACCAAAUGGUUGCUUAACCCAAAUAUCUGAGCAGCAAAUUGAGCUGAUCCUUCUGGAGAAAGUAUGGUUGAACAGCCAAGACCUAUUGGUUCAGCAAGGAAAAGACAGAAAAUUGAGCUCAAUUAGUAAUGAAAAUACAACCUCACAAAAAAUUUUAUACUCAGAGCAGUCCUGCCACAGAAAAUAAAAAGCUACUGCAUUAUUCUAAUCUAAAGUAGAAUCUGUACAACUGUCUUUAAUACCGGAGUGGUAAAGUGAUUACAAGAGGAAAAGCAGUCAGUAUUACCUGCCAUGAAGAAAUAUUUUAUAUAUAUCAUCUAUCACCCUUCUUAUAGAACUCACUCACAAAGAAACUUAUCUCUUUGAAACUUCUGUUCACAUACACUAUCCCUUUCAAUCCCUGGCGAAGAACAACUGAAGCAA